rnacentral:lncRNA from 1 species
GGAAAACUCCUGGAAGAAGUCAAGUCAUAAGCUGGAUGUGCUCGGUGAGAUCAACCCUCCCACUGCUAGACCCUGGCCUGGGAACUACCUCUGGAGGGGCCUUUGCUGAGCACUGCUCUCAUCCACUACAUGCUGAUUUUGGAGUUCAACAUUGGGAAGGAGCGUUUCCAUGGCUGGAGCGUGGAGGCUGGGAUGCCGUGGGAGCCUCCAGAGUGAGUAACCAGAGAAAGGAGGAUUCCGCCUCUUGGAGAUGUCUGACCCCAAGAUCAUCAUCAAUCCUAAAUGAAAUCUGUGAAACUCUGGAAACAGCUAAAUUUGAGGCCUCUCUGAGACUCACCUGGGAGGGGCGCUGUGAGGUCACCAAGGUGCUGGAUGAUACGGCUCCCCAGGGAGCGGAUUGAAUUGCCAAGUGGAUGGAGAAGAAAUACCGAAAAUACCAGGAGAAGAUUAAUACCUUGAAGAUUCAUCAGCCAAGUGUGAAUUAUUGACUUCAGUUUACCUCUGAGGAUGAGCUUGUGGUUGUCCCUGUGGGGCCAACAGGACAGAGGAGAGAAGUUCUGAGAGGGUGGUUGGGAGGGGCCACAAGGGAGUCACUCACAGCUGAGCUGCCUGAGAAGAUGGAUCUGGGAGAAACUGAGGAAGCCUCUGACGAACAUGCGCUUGGCAGCCCCUUGCUCUGAAGCCCUGAUGAGGAGGUUGGUGUCAAAGUCUCAUCUUAAAGAGUGAGCGAAUUUGGAGGAGGCCUUUGUCUCAAAAGUCCAACUCUGCUCAACCUGCACCUCAGGAGAAGACAGGGAGGAGUGGGGGCCAUUCCCCUGCAGUGGAGGAAAUCUAAGUAGAGGUCAUUAGAAAUAAGACCCAAGAGAAGGAAGAGAGGAUGACAGUGACCGGAACACACUGGGAAUGUGAAAUGACAGUUUCAUUCUAACCUGAUUUCCAGACAGACCUUUGGAGAACACCCGGGGAAACAGAAACCUCUCCCUGGUAACCGCUGGGUCCCCACAAGGCUGUAGCGCCAGGAGAACAGGAGAGAAGGAGGCUCCCCGAGGCUGGGGAGGCCCGUGAUCUUGCAUUGUGGUUCCUCAGAGCCGUGGACCGUAUCAGCCACAGCCCGGACUGCUGACCACCCCCCCAGUGGUGGGAGCUCCGGGAGCCUGGGGACUCAGGCUGUGCUGCCCCAGUGCUGGGGUCUCCCAGGAAGAGACUGGAGGUGAAUGUGAGCUGGCCCCUGGGCUGGCGCUGUAGGGGCAUUUGAGGGCCCUGGCAUUGCUGGUGGUGUUUGGCAAGGUAUCUCAGCCUGAGGGUGAAUUAAAUGAGACAGAUGCAUCAAACCUGA